rnacentral:lncRNA from 1 species
CUUAAAAAAAAAAAAAAAAAAGAGCAGCAUGGAAUCUGGCAGAUACCAGGGGAAGACAUAGGAAGUAGAACCCACAGGGUAAUAAUAAUUAAACAAGACAACCCUUAGGUUUCUAAUUCCCUAACCUCCUACAUUCAGCCCUGCCUCAGGUCAGGAAAGAGUUGGCAGGGCUUGCUCUUGCCCCAAGGAGGGAAACAGGCCCUGGCUUAGUUAUUUUUAGAAGCCCCAGAUGAUCGUAAUGUGCAUCCAGGGUUGAACCAGCAAUCCAAAGAAACCAGGACUGUGAUCUUCAUACAGGUUCCAGUUACUUUUUCCUUUGAACUGCAAAUAUGAAUUCUUAUUUUGAAUUGAACUAGCAGGACUAAAUUGGUUCACUAUAAACAACUUGAGAUUAUUCAAAAAUCAUUUGGAACUUGGACCAAAGGAGAGAUGGAAUUGAUUUAGCAACAAUUGAGACCUUAUUGAAAGUCAACCUAAAAAGAACAUCAGGCUUAGGAGACCUGGUUUAUAAUUGGUGCAUUUGCUUACUAGCUGUGGGA